CCUCCCUCUACAUUUAUCAGUAAACAGGGUGUGAUUCAUCUUGACUACCAUACAAGUUGUAAAAACAUUUUUUAAAAGAAUUCUACGCCUUAAACAACAGCAACUCGUUGUUUAACCAAGGUUGAAAGUGUGGCCUGAUAUUACGAAAUAAAGGUUGUGACCAGAAACAUGGGAAACAUCUUCUGGGGAGUACGAAUAUCCAUAAUAUCCAGUUUUAUUCGCAUUAAGACAUAUGAAAAGUUUAAAAAGACAGUCCCUCGGGAAAGCGGAAACGGCCUGCCCUGCGGGAACUGAAGGACUGCCCACUGGGGAACCACGCCCCAGACAACAACAGAGCGACACACAACGUCGUUCGCUCUGCUCUCUGGACGCUUCGGCACGCGCCCGGCGAGCCAACUUCACCGAGGUCAGACCCAGCCACGUGGUCUCGCCAGGAGCAACGAAGGAAUUGCCAGACGUGCAACAGGCCAACCCUUGAGGGUUUUUCUUCAAUCAGACACGGAGAACCUUGGAGAAUCCCCUAGCAAAAAGCCAGGAUCGGGCAGCUAGCGUGGGACCCGUGCAACAGGCCAAAGCA